rfam:Lysobacter capsici AZ78 unitig_0_1_merged, whole genome shotgun sequence.
UUGGAUAUAGCUCAGUCGGUAGAGCGCAGCUUGAUGCUGUGGCCGCGGGUUCGAUUCCCGUUAUCCCAA